UGAUGCUAGUAGUGUGUUUUUCUUCAAUCCUUCCCAUACAUGUCGUACGUGGACGGAUAUACCAAUCAAGUCAAGUCAUGCUUUUGACGGAUACAGACAGGGAGGACUCGAGGGUGUCUAUUUUAUUUCAUUUGCUCCAGCUCUCUGUUGUAUCGCUUCAGCCGAAAUGAUGUGUUCCUUUCUGUAGUUACGGCGGGAGGAGGGGAGGGAGGACUAUUUACAGACCGCAAACUUCCCCGCGAUGACUUGAUGGUUUCUAUGCAUUCGCUGCAGCUUUGGGCGGUGAAAUCUGGAAGCAUCACAGAGACAG
rnacentral:sRNA from 1 species